CCUACGGGAGGCAGCAGUGAGGAAUAUUGGUCAAUGUGCGAGAGCCUGAACCAGCCAAGUCGCGUGAGUGAGUACUGCCCUAUGGGUUGUAAACCCCUUUUGUCGGGGAGCAAAAGUCGGUCGUGUCCGGCUGUGAGAGUACCCGAAGAAACAGCAUCGGCUAACUCCGUGCCCGCAGCCGCGGUAAGCAGAGGGGUGCGAGCGUACUCCGUAUUUAUUGGGUUUAAGGGGUCCGCAGGCGGAUUUUUAAGUCAGCGGUCAAAUCGUGGGGCUCAACCCCAUCCAGCCGUGGACACUGGGGAUAGAGAGUGUGCGAGAGGUAUGCGGAAUGCGUGGUGUAGCGGUGAAAUGCAUAGAUAUCACGCAGAACCCCGAUUGCGAAGGCAACAUACCGGUGCACAACUGACGCUCAGGCACGAAAGCGUGGGUAUCGAACAGGAUUAGAUACCCGUGUAGUC
rnacentral:rRNA from 1 species